AUUGAACGCUGGCGGCAGGCCUAACACAUGCAAGUCGAGCGAGCGGCGGACGGGUGAGUAAUGUAUGGGGACCUGCCCGAUAGCGGGGGAUAACUACUGGAAACGGUGGCUAAUACCGCAUACUAUUGGAUGAACCCAUAUGGGAUUAGCUAGUAGGUGGGGUAAAGGCUCACCUAGGCGACGAUCCCUAGCUGGUCUGAGAGGAUGAUCAGCCACACUGGGACUGAGACACGGCCCAGACUCCUACGGGAGGCAGCAGUGGGGAAUAUUGCGCAAUGGGCGAAAGCCUGAUGCAGCCAUGCCGCGUGUAUGAAGAAGGCCUUCGGGUUGUAAAGUACUUUUAGCAGGGAGGCGUUACCCGCAGAAGAAGCACCGGCUAACUACGUGCCAGCAGCCGCGGUAAUAC
rnacentral:rRNA from 1 species